UAUGUGUGUAUAUAUAUAUGUAUAUAUGUAUAUAUGUAUAUGUAUAUACAUAUACUUUUAAUUAAUGCAAGAAGAUUAUUUUGCUUGUUUUAGGCAACCUAUUUUUUUUCUGAAAACAAGACAAUAAUUUUUACUUGUCUAGAAAAAGCUUCUUGAUUUAAGAAUUUUUAGAUAUUUUGACCGGAAACAAGACAAAGUCUAAGUAAGAAAAGCAUUUUUUUUUUUUUUUUUUUUUUUUUUAGUGUAUAAUAACCUUGGCAGAGUUCAAUAUCUCUGAAGCAUAUUUUGAUGGAAUGAUGGCCAGAUUUCAGUUUUUAUUUGUCUCUUGUCUCUAGUACAUGGUGUUAAGUUAUAAACAAACAGUUAAUAGUCUUAUGACAGUAGUUGUAAUAUGAGUCACAUGACUUGUUUUAUUUUGCAUCAGUAAUCGAAACCCGUUUUGCUGCGUUACACGCGCUCAUUUGGUAAGCGGUGUGGUUUGGGUCACAUCCAGACAUGAAAACAAACCGCGUUAAAUAAUUCAUCCCUAAGGUGUGGUCCUGGCCGGAGUAUCGCGAGGAUUGGAGCGCGAUGAGGCGCUCGUGCCUACAGGCCAGUUCUGGGAAAACCCUGGGAUUCCAGUCAUUGUUCUCAUUCCUGCCGCCGAUCCGUCCGGGCUUGUCUGCGGCAGUAAAGAGCUUUCAUACGAAGGCCUGUCCAAACACACACCAGACCGACUCUCAGCUGCUCAGCUUCCUGAACGUUGACUUCUGUUCUGUUCGGUGUUUGUUGUUGAAUAUGUCAACAGCUGCAGGCUUGGGAAUGAUUAUAUAGUUAAUUAGUGAACUGAGAGAAGCUGAAUGCUUGAAAACAGCAGACCAAAGCGAUAGAAAGUGUGAAGCGGAAGCGUGUGGCUGGUUUGACGUGUCCGUGUGUUUCAGAGGGUGCGGCUCCUCGCUGGACUUCAGAUGGACAAUAAUCUGCUUCUGCUUUUCACACACAAAGACGCAAAUCCUGCAGAAUAAUUUCCAGCUGUCGUGUUUGUGUUCUCUGGGUUGUCAGGUGUUUUUGUAGACAGUGGAGUCCCGAAGAAGAAACUGCAUUGAAAAACUUUUUGUUUUGGUUUUGAUUUUGGCAUAAAGAAAAACACUGGUAGCACUUCACAAUAAUGUUCCUUUAGCUAACAUUAACUAACAAUGAAAAAAAAAAAAGCGUUUAUUAAUCCUAAUGUCAGCAUUAUUAAAAUCAAAAGUUGUUGAGAUUAUUUAAUGGACAUGAACUAACAAUGAACAAUCCAUUAUCUAAUAUUAACAAAGAUGAAUAAAACUGUAAAUGAUGUAUUGCUUGUUAGUUCAUGUUUAAUUCAUUAACUAAUACUAGCUUAUUUUAAAGAGUUACCAAAAUAUGUUAUAUUGAAUAAGUGUUUCAUAUUUUAUUAUGCAACUAUUAACAUUUAAUAUUGUCCUCGAUUUAUAGUUCACUGAUGCACUGAGCAACUGCUUGUUUUCUUUGAGGAACAAAACAUUAUUUGUGUAACUUUUGAAAAAUAUAUUCAGAAUGUGAUAUUUUUUGGUUCAAACUUCAAAUCUCAAAUAUGUUAUGCUGAUAAUAUUGGUAGAAAUGGAGUGAUUUUCACUAGUGAUCUCAGAUUGUGACACUUUUCAGUAAGGUUUACAUGAAUUAACAAUGAAAAAGAAGCAUUUAUUAACCUUAGUUCAUGUUCAUUUCAGCAUUUACUAAUACAUUAUUUAAAAUCAAAAGAUGAAUCUUCAUGUUAUUUAAUAAUUGACAUGAACUAACAGUUCAUUUGAAUCAGAAUAAUAAAUACUGAAACAAAUCUAUUGCUCAUUGUUAGUUAAUGAAUGAACUAAUGGAUCUUAUUCUGUGAUUCUUUAAGAUAUUGUGGAGGUGGUUUUGGUGUGUCAUGAAGAUAUUCAGUUGAUUUAGCAGAGCGUUUUGUAUGCUCAGCCACAGUAAACGAUGGCAUUGUUGGCAUUUUAUCCUGUCAGUCAUUGUUUCUGCGCACCAGGCGUGUGGCGAGGCUCGGCCUGAGGCCGGAGGUCAUGUGACACCGGUGACCGGGUGCGCGUGAACUCAACGGACCACAGUCUGACAUGCCGUGACAUGCCCUGAAUCCACCGCACAUGUGCUGUCCUGAAGAUGCCAUGUGACUCGGUUAAAUGUUAUUAAAUGUUUGAUAAUGUGAUGUGGCUUUCAGCUGCAAAUUAAAGACUUGAUUUAACACGUUUAUAACAAAUGUUAAAGUUCAUGGAGUUUGUGUGAAGAAAUUCCACAGAUUUCACUCGACGAGAGUGUCAUUAUGAUAUUCAUCAGCAUUGUUGUGAUGAUUGGCAGCUGCCCGUUUGUUAUUUUAGUCGCAGAUCUUUGCUGAGCAGGUUUCGGUGAAUAAGGAAGUAUUGUUGUAACGCAAGUCCUCGUUUCUGUUCAUCCGCUGCCAGGAAAGGAGGUGAAAGAAUACAGAGAUGCUCAUCUCACUUUCCUGUUGUGUUUCAUCAGAAAUGAGUGUGUUUGCGCAACAGAGCUUUUGUAAAGCGCCUGUCGAAAGUUCACAUCCAGAUCCUCUCGGGAGAAAGUCUCUCUUGUUUUCUUCGAGUCUUCUUGUGUAAGUGUUUUGGUGUUUCUGUGAGGUAAACUGCAGGCAGCGUUUGGGGUCUUCAUCCGCUCUGUCUGCGUCACCUCCAGCCGAAGGUCUUCUGCUCAUAACACUGACCCACAUCUACCACAGAGCAGCUGACUCAUUAUUCGCUGUACGUUUCUGUGCUCCAGCCCACAGGAAUGAGGUUAAAUUGUUAGUGAUGUUCAGUGAGGAGCGAUGUUGCCUUCAGGGUGGCGAUGCUUUAUUUAGCUGAUUCUACAUAAAGAGGAACCUGCAACCCUCGAGAUCUGUUGAGAUUCCCCUUGCGGUCUUUGUUUUCAGGCCCCAGAGACCACGAUGAUGCAAAAUUAACCUUCUAUAAAUGAUUCUCUCUUCUUUUCCUUUUAAUAAGUUCCUCUGAACAUGUUAAAAAAAAAACCCGUAGGCUGAUAUUAUUCAAGCUGUUGUUUGACAAAACAGUGUAAACAUUUCAGAAAUGGCAUAGUAACAUUAUUUGGUGUCAACUCAAUCUCUAGCAAAAUCAUUCAGUGACUCGUCAUAUGAUUCUGCUCAAACAAUCAUAAAAUCUAUUGUAUAUUUUAUUUACUGAGGUCUCUGGGACCCCAAAAGUAAUCUCAUGGACAGUGUAUGUUAUAGAAGUUAGUUAGAUGUUUCAGUGUUAAAGGGAUAGUUCACCAGGAAGUGAUGUCAGAACCUUUCACUGAUCAGUUCUUAAAAGAACCAUUUUGUCUUCGUGUGAAGAGCAUUUUCCACUAUAAAGAAUCUUUAGUGGUUCUGUGGACGUUAAAGGUUCUUCAUGGAACAUUGGUGCCAAUAAAGAACCUGAAUUGAUAAGAGUGCAGCACAUAAUCAAUGCUAGACCAGCUCUAAACCAGCGUAAACUGGACUGUAAACUGGUUAGGCUAGACCGUCUGAUUCUUUUUCCAUGUCAUUUAAAAGUACACACUAAAAAAUGCUGGGUUAAAAAUAAUCCAAGUUGGGUCAAAACUGGACAAACCCGUUGGUUGGGUUAAAUGUUUGAUCUGACCUGCUGGGUAGUUUUAUUUUAAUCAACUUUUGUUUAAAAGUUACUAUAUUGAUUGCUUAAAAAGAACCCAAAAUAGGUUGGAAAUGAACAUUUAUUGAUAAGUUUAAUAAAUAAUAAUUAAACAAUAAACAUUUAUUAAAUUGCUUAUUAAUAAAUGUUCACCUUUUGAUUAUUAUUGUUUCCUCUAGUAAUUAUGUGUCUGAUUUUUAAUUUCCAACAUAUUUUGGGUUCAUUUUAAGCCAGACAUACAGUCAUUUUAAACAAUAGUUGAGUUGAAUAAAACUACCCAGCAGGUUGAGACAAACAUUUAACCCAACCGCUGGGUUUGUCUAUAUUCAGCAUAACUUGGGUUGUUUUUUAACCCAGUGUUUUAUAGAGUGUAGGAUAUCUGUUUUUAAUGAAAUGUAAUUUAUUUGCCCUCAUGUUAUUCCAAUACCAAACCAAAUAUUGGAAACAUGUUUUGGUCACCAUUUACUUCCACUGAUGGACAAAAAAUCUUGUGGUUCACAGAAGAAGUAGGUCAUACAUGUUUGAACAACAUUGUAGUGUGUAAAUGAUGACAGAAUGAUUGUUUUUGUGAGUUUUUUGGACACAUCUCAGUGUAAACUGGGAAACCAUAAUAUCUCAGUGCCUCUGUUAGUUUAAAAACAGCAUGUUGAGGAAGAAGUUAAGAUUGAUGAUGAUGUUUCGUGUCUCCAGAGAGGAAGUGGAAGUGGUUGUUCAUCAUCAGCAGCCACACCUCGUGGUUCACCACAUCUCUGAAGAUCAGAGGAUCUCCAUCUUCAGCCACUGCUGGAAUGCUGGUGAAAGCAGGAGAUGCAAACGUGUGACUGAAGGUGUGAACGCAGAAUGCAUCUGAGCUCUGAUUCUUUCUGAUGUGAACAUUAAAAAGCCUGGCUGACUUCUUCUUGUGUUUCUUUGUUUUCUCCAAAUUCGAUUAUUGCAUGGGAUUUGACAGCGAACUCUCGGAGGAGACGUUCUUGCAACAUCGUGGAGUAUUGCUCAAGCUGAAGGAGAGAAAACAAGUCGUGUUUAUUGCAGGCUUUACAGUGUGUGUUCACUCUAAAAAUCGAUGGUUCCAUGAAGAACCUUUAACAUCCAUCACGCAAAAGCUUCUUUUCACUAUUAAAAUGUUCUUCACACUAAGAAAAAGAAGGUCAUUUUAAGAACUGACCACUGAUCAUGAUCUUCUAUGACACUACUGAGAAAAAUCCCAUUCGGAGCUGUUAGUGUGAAGAGAGUGUGAUUUUGUAUAUUUAUGAGAGUUGAGCACAGUGACUUAUAUGAAGUGGGUCAGUGAAGAGUCACUUUAAUCCGCCGCAUUUUAAUAUUAUCAUUGGACAUUCAGAGGAUGUGUUUAUACAGGUCAUCUGGAGAUCAUGUGAGAGCCAGUUUCCUGUUGGUCCAGAGACAAGGAAGUGCAUUUCUUGCGACAUUCUUCUAUAGGUGUUUGUAUGUUAAUGUCACCGCGGUGUAAACGAGUCACUGCAUGCAGUGCAGCUUCACUGGAAUGGCGACUCUUUUAAUCUCUUAUCUGUUUUUGACUGUGUUUUCUUCUGUUGAAUAGUUUAUCUCAAAGCAUGAUCUGUGAUUUGCAUUUCUCAAUACCAGAGCUGCGUGUGCUUGUGUGCGUGCAUGUGUGUGUGUGUGCGUGCAUGUGUGUGUGCGUGCAUGUGUGUGUGUGCGCGUCAUGCGAACGGCUGCCUGUGAUCCCAGCGCUGGCAGGAAGGAAGGGUGUUUCCAUCUGAGACUUCCUGUCUUGCACCAUGACUGACUAUAUGCUGAUCCUCUCUUCCUUCUGUCACUGGAGAGAAGCAGACCUUCAUUGCUCUUUCCCAGCCGUCACUUCUCUUCAGGGGGCUGCAGUGCUGUAUAUGGGGAUGUUCCAGGGGUCAAAGGUCACUCAGGGCUGGAGAUGGGGGUUGUCAGUGAUCGCGAUGCCUCUAAGAAACGAAGUUUGAAGCGGUUUUGUUUGAUCACUGAUGGAGCUGGAGCAGGCCUUGACCCAGAGUCAGCAGGUUUCUCUCACUAUACGUCACCUCAGCUGUACAGUGACCGUGAGGACAGCAGACACUGGACGACACUCACAAUCACUGUCCAGUUAGCACUUGUGUUCACGGCUGACCUUUUGUACAGCUGGAUUUGUUGUUCUUGUCAUCUUCUGUGCUGAAGAAGAGGUUAUGGUCAGAUCAUGAGCUCAGGAUGACCCGUGGCUUGUGUGGGACUGAAAGCCUUAAACUCAUUCCACGACUGUACGGAUGUGUGCUGCGUCUUACACUGGCUCCGUUAUGGAAACCAAAUGUUAUUGGAAUUGUGACAUUCCAAACUGAACAUGUGGAGAUCAGAUGCAUGUAUGACACUCUUUCAUUCCAACACGCUUUCUCUCUGAUCUUCAGAUGACUUAUAGUCCUGAUCGCAAAUAAUAAUUAUGCAUUAUACUGUAUUUUUAAGAGGUUUAUUCUACUUGGGGGGAAAAAUGCCUUUGAAGGGAUACAUGAAAACAACACAUGAACUCAAAUGAAGGAAUUUUGAAGAAUAUGAGUAACUGAACAGUUGAUGGGCCUCAUUGACUUCACACUGAAAAAUGAGGAAUAAACACCCUUUAUUUCUUUAUCGCAUCACAUCAGGAUCCGGAGUAAGAAGAAAUGCUUUAGUGAAGGAAGAGAGAUCAUAAUACAGGAAAAGAAAGCAGAUAUGACAUCAUAAUGUGAAAAAAUGGACAGAAAGCAGCUUCAGGAAUGAAGGACAUCAGGAGAGAGAAAUGGAUGUGGAGAAGAGGAGAGAACGGGGGACGGAGACCAAAAUAGACCGAGUCAGUGUGACUAAGAUGCUAAUUGCAGUGGAACAGCAUUCUAACAUGCAGUAAUGAGAGAGAGAGAAUGUGUUCAGAUCCACACGCCUCUGCCAUGAACACUCGGAGUUUUCCAUAUCGUCAUUUCUCCCAUUAAAAUGGAAUAUGGAGUGUUUUAUAGCGAUCAGUGUAAAAGCGCUGGUGUUUGAUGUGAUGUGAGCAGAUCCGGUGUGUGGGCGCCUCAGGGCAGACCGCCGCUACAGCGCUGUCUCUGAGCAGAAGAGGUUAAUGGAUCUGUGUGUCAUUUAGAUUUUAUAGAACAAUCACCAAUUGUAUGGAGAAGUUUGUGUGCGUGUGUGUGUGUGUGUGUGUGUGUGUGUGUGUGUGUGUGUGUGUGUGUGGGUGUGUGUGUGUGUGUGUGUGUGUGUGUGUGUGUGUGUGUUGUACUGCUGGAACGCAGUGUCUGGCAGUGUUUACAGUGUAGCUGCAUUUGCUCAGAUGUUAAUGAUCUGCACACAGAUGUAAACACACAAACACUUUAGAUCUGUAGCAUGAACACACAUUCAUGUUUCUCUGUAUAUUAGAACGUUUUGAAGUCAUGGCAUCAAAAUUCAUGGAAUAUUUCAGUGUUUAUUCUGAAUGAUUUAUCGGUGCACAUCAUUAUUGUGUUAAAUUCAUGUUCCUGGUAAUCUUGAAUCAGAAUAUCUUCUCCUCCCUCUUGCAGCAUCUCUUCUCUUCUCUGAUGACGAGGGCGGGGCAACCUGUCACUCACAUGAGAUCCACCAAUAGCAAACCACAACCAUCCAAUCAAUUCCCCACGGACAAAAUCAAGCCCCGCCCCACAUUUGUUCUUGUUCCAGAAGAGUUUCACUCAGAUAUACGGCACAAUAGAGAAGAAAAGAGGAGCACAACUUCUGUUUCAUGAUGACUUUAAAUCUCAGUGAGAAUAAACUACAGACCUGGAAACUAUUAACAAGCAGAAACUGUAAAAUAAAAAUAAAAGAUCAAAACAUAACAAAAUAAAAGGACUGAAAAUGUGAACCAAAGAUCAUUACAGCCACUUAAUACAUGGCUCUUUACCAAAUAAAUACAUUAAACUGAUGUUUUUAAAAAGAAGUCUCUUCUGCUCACCAAAGCUGCAUUUAUUUGAUCAAAAAUACAGUAAAACAGUGAAAUAUUAUUCCAAUGUAAAUCAGCUGUUUUCUAUGUGAAUAUAUAGUGUAAUUUAUUCCUGUGAUCAAAGCUGAAUUUUCAGCAUCAUUACUCCAGUCUUUUUCUUUCAAAAACUAUAUAAUGAGGGUCUUUUCAAGAAGUUGUUUUUUUUAAUGAGGCCUUUUCAUUAUUUUUAUAUCAGUAUCAUAUUUUAAAUUUAUGCCCUCAAAAAAUACCAAAAAUGAAUUUUAAUUCAGAAAUGAUGUAAGAUGUGUCACUGAAUUACAUGAUCACGUAUUUUAGAAUAAAUGUCAAUGAUUCAUUUCCAUGAUGUUUUCUUUCACUCUGUUGUGAGUGUAGAUCUUAAGAUGUGGAACUCAUAAUAUUUGGCUGUUAGAUUUUCUGCCACAAACACUAAAAUGUGACUUUUAUGACGUUUACUUUGGCUUUAACGGCUCAAACCUGCUGUGUGAGAGAAGGGACACACACUCCAGUGCUUUAACCCUUCACUGCCUCAUUGACUCACACACACACACACACACACACACACACACUCCGUCAGCUGUAGAAGUGAAUGUCUGGCGUUCUGAGAAUGGAUUACAUCCUAUUAAAUCUCACAGCGAGUGUGUGUGACACAGAUCUCACCUCUGCUCCUUCCUCUCAUUCUGUUUUCCUCUUUAUCUCUCGGUCACAUUCUCAGCCGGCUCAUAAUUACCUUAAUGACACGAGUUUCCUGUUAAUAUAGAGCAGUAUUUCAGCUUUACAGAUACUGAACAUCACAGUCUCACUAACACUCUCUCAUUUUCUCUCUGAGUGAAGUGAGAAUGUUUAGUGUGCUGAAUGUCAUAGUGUUCCAGCUGACAAAUAUAUGUUCUCUGAACCUUCUGAAACAAGUAGUAACAUUUAAAAAAUGUUAAAUGAACGUCCAACUAGAACAUUUCAGGUCAGAACAUUCCAUGAACGUGUUUGUUUUGUGUGUAUUUGUGACUGUAGAAACACGUGUGUGUGAUUCCCUCUUCUUCUCGGCUGGAAUGAAGCACAUGUUGAGACUCCUGCCGUGAGUUUUUCCUCAGCCCUGAACUCCCGUCUGAAAUGCACCCGAGCAGAAACAGACACCCGAUCGUGCUUCAGAGCGCCGGGUUUGACCCCUGCGUGACCUCAGAGCGGGCGUCAGGUCAAGCGUCAGACGGCGUUUCAGAUGUGUUUCUCUGCUCCUGUUCAAGUCUUUGUUGUAACGACAGGUGAGGUGAAGAUGGAGCGCUGCGUGGGAAGCGUGGGCAGAAACACUGAGACGGUCCGGAUGCGGCUCUCACAGGCCUUUAUAAUGGACUGUAAUGACGGGUUGAGCUGAAUCACAGACAGCAGAUAGUGAACACGACUGAACACCAGCUGUUAUUAUUCCACUGAUGAACACAGAGACGCCACUAACACUGACACCCUCAACAACAAACUGAAAGAGUUUAUAUAGAUUACAAAAUACAUGUUUCAUUUAUUGCCAACUGCCAACAUGAUCAAGACAGAUUGUUUUAGGUUUUCUUACUUUUAAGAACAACAUAUAUUUGAAAUAUAUUUUGGUCAGUGAAAAAAUAAUGCAGUGUAAGUCUGUUAGCGCUGAUAUAUGCUAGAGGUUUUAGUGUUUACUAUGUAGGAGCCCUUAAAAAUGACCUUAAUAUUCUGUGGACAUUGUUAUAUGAUGAACUGUUGAUUUGACCCCUCAGGGUUUGGCCUUUAACCUUUGACCUUUUUGAGGAAGCUCGAUCGAAUGCUCACUGUGCGCUAUGAUGCCUUCUGCAUUUUCCUGCUACCCUAGAUUUGCCACUUCCUGUUUCUGGCUAUCAGCUUCCUGCGGUUCAUCUACUUCCUUGUUAUGUUCUGAUAAGCAGAUGCUGACUUUGUGUUUUAGAAUAACAUUGAAAGAAUUUAUGUGUAAUAAAAUCACAGAAGUAUUUAGAGAGCUGAUGAAGCAUGAUUAAGCUCCACAUAAUUAACAGCACAUGAUCAUGUUCUGAACGUCUCAUGAGAAAUGAAGCUCCUGCCGUUCUCUCCGCUCUUAUGCUGGUGUUGCAGAGGCUCACGCUGCUGUAGCGCAGUCACAGUUCCCACGGUGAGGUCAACCUGUAAAGAUGAAAGAUGUUUCCUGGCUGUUCUGAGUACAGUGCAUCCUGGGGAAAAGUCCUCUUGUACGGAUAUGUGUCUGAGGAACUUCCACUUCCAUUCCCUCAUAGAGUUUCUCUGCUUCCUGCUGGUCUCUGGUGGUAAAGAUGGCGUCACACAUGCUUCCUUACUCUCAAAGACAAACACACACACACACACACACACACACACACACACAGGUAGAGAGAGUGUUUUGUGUAAAUGUACAGCAUUUGAACAUGACUGUGACAAACAGAGUAUCUUCUAUGCAGAACCUGUAAGGGUUCCGUCAGGCGCUUCAUUUAUAGAAUCUCUCUGGCAUAAAGUGUUCUUCAAAACUCUAGAGUUCUAUGUAGAACACACUGAACCUUAUUUUAUAAAACUGAUAGUUCUGGCCCUUGAUUCUGAUUGGUUGAGCCGCGUUCAAAGCUGUUGUAAAAUUCCCGAAAACAUACAGCUGCGUCUGUCUUAGCAACCACUCUUAGCAACGUAAACAUAUGUUUGUUCUCAAUCGAUUUUGUUCAUUGACGUUCACUGCAUUAUGUAGGAGAGUAUUGUGAGAGAUAUCAGUGACCAAAUCUAUGAAUUUAUAACAGCUACGGGGUUUUAGGAACAGCUGAAGGGGUAAAAUGAUCCGCGUCGUGCCUAACAACGGCCCUUAGCUGUUAUAAAUUCACUGUAAACCAUGGCUAGAGAUGGUCUAGAGAUGGUCUAGAGAUGGUUUAGAGAUGGUUUAGAGAUCGUUUAGAGAUGGUCUAGAGAUUGUUUAGAUAUGGUUUAGAGCUGGUUUAGAGAUGGUUUAGAGCUGGUCUAGAGAUGAUUUAUAGCUGGUUUAGAGAUGGUCUAGAGAUGGUCUAGAGAUAGUUUAGAGCUGGUUUAGAGCUGGUUUAGAGCUGGUCUAGAGAUGGUUUACAGCUGGUUUAGAGCUGGUUUAGAGCUGGUCUAGAGAUGGUUUAGAGCUGGUUUAGAGAUGGUUUAGAGCUGGUUUAGAGAUGGUCUAGAGAUGGUUUAGAGCUGGUUUAGAGAUGGUCUAGAGAUGGUUUAGAGCUGGUUUAGAGAUAGUCUAGACAUGAUUUAGAGAUGGUUUAGAGAUGGUUUAGAGAUGGUCCAGAGAUGGUUUAGAGCUGAUUUAGAGCUGGUCUAGAGAUGGUUUAGAGCUGGUUUAAAGCUGGUCUAGAGAUGGUUUAGAGCUGGUUUAGAGAUGGUCUAGAGAUGGUUUAGAGCUGGUUUAGCUAUUGAACUUGCAUACUUGAUCAGAAAAACAAGCAAACAAACAAACAAAACAAUGCAUGUCCAACACUCUUAAAAAUGAAGGUUCCAUAAAAGGGUGUUUUCUCAGCAAUUCCAUAGAAGAACCAUUUCUGGUUCCCCAAAGAACCUUUCAGUGAUCAGUUCUUAAACUUAAAAGAAUAAACUUUCAGUAACCAGUUCUCUAAAAAAACUUUUUUUUUUUUAACUGUAAAGUACCUUUUGUGCAUUGGAACCAUUAAUGCCAAUAAAGAAGCUUUAUUUUUAAGCGUUGGUAAGUUAGACCAGCUUCAAACCAGCAUAAACUGGUUAAUGUGGCUAGACCAUCUGAUUCUUAAUCUGAUGUAAUCUGAUUUGAUAUCUGUGUGGUCUGAUGAAACAAACAUUUCCACAAGCAACAUUUCAUUGCUGAUAUUUAAUUAUAAUAUUUGUCCAGCUCCAGAGUUGUUGCGCUAUCAGAAAAAAUGUGCAAAGAUUAUAUUUUUAGGGGCACGACAGCAUAUCAUUGGAGCUUUUUUUGUAUCUUAUACCUCUAAAAGGUUACCAGCUAACACAAAUAUUUUACUAAUAUUCCCAUUAAGUUAUGAAAACAUUGUUUUUAGAACCAUCAAAUCUUUUUUCUUUUUUCUUUUUUUCUUUUUUUUCAAAUGUUUUAAAAAUGUUUUUGGUGAACAUUAGAGAAAAACAUUAAGGGAAUGUCUUCUCUAUUUUAUCAUUUUGCAUGUAUUUUGUGAACGUGAAUGUUCUCUGACCCAUCUGAAAAAGUAGUAAGUUGUAGCCUAACGUUAGACGAACGUCCAGCUAAAAUGAUUCAGAAAAAUGUUCCAUGAACGAUGUAUGAAUAAUGUUUUUGUGCUAAUGAUUUGAGAACGUUAUUAAAGACCAGAUAACAUUGAACAAACAUUCUAUUAAUGUUACUGGAAGAACGUUUGUUCAUAACUUUGCCACAGAGUGUGUGUGUGUGCACAAGAAUGUCAUUUAACACAGAUGUUGUCAUCAUGAGUGAUUUAUGAAAAGGACCAAAGAUGAGAAACUUUGCUCUUUAAAUCAGCAAGAUUUUUGUGCACAUUUUGCAUUAUUGUGUUUCUGCUGUUUAGUGAUGUGAAGCUCAUGUCCUCCUGCCCAUCGCUGUGUUUGUCAUAGUGACGGUGAAAGGAAUGUAGUGGUUGCCAUAGAAACUGUUUCUGCUGCUUCUGCUUCCAGUGUCACGCAGAGGUGAAAAGGUCACGACCUGGCUGAACUCGAUUCCUGCGCUGUGGGGAACGUGAACUUUGCUCGCUGGACGCACCUGUGAGCGGAUGCUGUUUGAUGUGGUCAGCUUCAGAAAAGAAUCCGCCCACCUGUUCCUCAACGCAUCGACCCACAGAGAAGAGUGCGGUUAAAAAUACUUCUGAUUCUCCUGCCGCUUUCCAUCAUUUACAGAAGUGUUUCUAUAACAACCACCAGAGCUGGAAGAGAAAGUGCAGGUGAACCGAGAAAAGCAAAACUUUCUUUGGUUGGCAUGGAAGCAUAAUUAUAAGUCAAAAUGAGUCAGAUGAGAUCCGGACGGGCUUUUACUGCCGAAACGCCUGAUCCUCAGACUGAUUUGCAUCCACUUACUCAGACGAUCAGCCCACGCUCAGCUGAAGCCGGAGAAACGCGGCGUCAGGCCCUUCUGAGCGCUCCGUGACUCAUCAAGAUGCUGCUGCCAAACGCUUCUUCUUUUUAAAUCUACAAAACUACAUCUGCUGGAGCCAAAAUGGCAGAGUUUGAUUUGAAGAAGGAGUGUAGAGGAGCUGAAGAAGAGGAGCUGAUGUGUGGGUGUGUGGAGUUUGGCAUAUGUGCCCUCUCUACAAACACACGGCCCACGCAGCACUACACACCGUUUACACGCCUGCAUACAUGGACUAUUUUUACUCUGAGUACAUAUAGGAUGAAGGAAGGAAAAGGAGGAGGACUGGCUAUUUAAGUCAGAGUCGAAUGAGAGGAAAGCACUGGACAUCCUCACAAUGUAUAUAAAAGUCCUGUAGGAUUAUGUAAAACAAAAAAUGUACAGUAAAAAUGCUGGGUUGAUUCAACCCACGUUGGGUCAAAUAUGGACAGACCCAACCGCUGGUUUAAAUGAACACAUUUUUUAGUGUAGUUAAAUGUAGAUGCCACUUUAAAGAACUGAAGCAAAACUGUGAUUUAUAUAUCUCAGCUAACAAUAAUGAGUUCUAAGAAUGUUAUUCCAAUGUUCCCAGUAUGAAAAUGUUAUUCUGAAUGUUCAAACAAUCAGUUUUUUAAAAUGUUUUAAAACAUUUUUUCUUGGUUAUACAAACGUUAAGGGAACAUUCCAUUUUAUUAUCUUCAAACAUUUUGUGAACGUUACUUUUGAAUGUUCUCUGAGUAGUAACAUUUAAAAAAUGUUAAAUUAAACGUUUCAGAAACGUUCCAUGAGCAAUGUAUAAAUAAUGUUUUUGUUUUAAUGUUUUGAGAACAUUAUUAAAGACCAGAUAACUUUGAACAAAUGUUCUAUUAACGUUUCUGGAUAAAUGUUCAAACAUAACUUUAAGAGAACCUUGGCAGAACGUUCUGAGAAUGUUCUCUGUUGGGCUCAUACUUGAUCAUCUGCCCUGAUACUGUAUGAUCCUCAAACAUAUCUCCAUUACUUUCAAAAUUUCAGUGCUACAAAAUCUCACAGAGAACAAAACUGCAAUGUUUGAUCUGUAAUUUAGUAAAAUAAAAGAAGAUGUCAGGAGCUGAAUGCUUUUCAAUAUCAAUUAUCUGAUCGGCCCUGUCGCACUUCUAAUUUUCUAAUUUGUAAGUAGCUUCAGAU